rnacentral:pre_miRNA from 1 species
AAAAUCUGAAAGUCGUUGAAGCGCCUGCUUCGAUGGAUUGUGGGCUACUCCUCCGUUGUAGUCCACAAUCCAACAAUGCAGGCGCUUCCACGAAUUUCAAGAUACUUGUAACUG